AACUUUCGGCAAUGGAUCUCUUGGUUCUGGCAUCGAUGAAGAACGCAGCGAAAUGCGAUAAGUAAUGUGAAUUGCAGAAUUCAGUGAAUCCUCGAAUCUUUGAACGCACAUUGCGCCCCUUGGUAUUUCGGGGGGCAUGCCUGUUCGAGCGUCAUUUCAACCCUCAAGCUCUGCUUGGUAUUGAGCCCCGCCAGCGAUGGCGGGCUCUAAAAUCAGUGGCGGGGCUGCUGGGCCCUGAGCGUAGUAAUUCGCUCGCUACAGGUGCCUGGUGUGCGUCUGCAAACAACCCCGUAUUUUUCUAUGGUUGACCUCGGAUCAGGUAGGGAUACCCGCUGAACUUAAGCAUAUCAAUAAGCGGAGGCU
rnacentral:misc_RNA from 1 species